rnacentral:rRNA from 2 species
UAAGGAAUAUUGCGCAAUGGGCGAAAGCCUGACGCAGCGACGCCGCGUGGGGGAUGAAGGUCUUCGGAUUGUAAACCCCUUUCGGGAGGGAAGAUGGGAUGGGGUAACCCAUUCGGACGGUACCUCCAGAAGCAGCCACGGCUAACUUCGUGCCAGCAGCCGCGGUAAUACGAAGGUGGCAAGCGUUGUUCGGAUUUACUGGGCGUACAGGGAGCGUAGGCGGUUGGAUAAGCCCUCCGUGAAAUCUCCAGGCUUAACCUGGAAAGUGCAGAGGGGACUGUUCAGCUAGAGGAUGGGAGAGGAGCGCGGAAUUCCCGGUGUAGCGGUGAAAUGCGUAGAGAUCGGGAGGAAGGCCGGUGGCGAAGGCGGCGCUCUGGAACAUUUCUGACGCUGAGGCUCGAAAGCGUGGGGAGCAAACAGG